AUUUAUAUAGUUUAAAAAAACAUUAUAAUUUCAUUAUAAAAUUAAUAAUAUUAUUUAUAAAUA
rnacentral:tRNA from 1 species